rnacentral:rRNA from 1 species
CAGUCGUACCGGCGGAUAAUCAGCUUUUGAGUGUGAUUAUGUGGAUUGUGAGGAGUUUAACCGCCUUCAUGUAUUGCAUAUUUGUGUUCUUGGGUGUACUUGUCUGUGUGGUAGGUUAACAUCAAUUUCGGUCGUCAAUAAAAUGAUUGGAAGAAUGUAGCUUUGAUCUCGUAU